rnacentral:rRNA from 1 species
UACAGAGGUCUCAAGCGUUGUUCGGAUUCAUUGGGCGUAAAGGGUGCGUAGGUGGCGCCGUAAGUCGGGUGUGAAAUUUCGGAGCUUAACUCCGAAACUGCACUUGAUACUGCAGUGCUCGAGGACUGGAGAGGAGAUUGGAAUUCAUGGUGUAGCAGUGAAAUGCGUAGAUAUCAUGAGGAAGACCAGUGGCGAAGGCGGAUCUCUGGACAGUUCCUGACACUGAGGCACGAAGGCCAGGGGAGCAAACGGG